AGAGCGCGUGUGGCCGCCGAGCACAUGGACCCACUGGUCAAGCGGGCUCGGCAAGGCCAGGAUGAAGAGAAGCUACGAACUUAGCAUUCCCAGAGCCCCCCGAGUGGAUAUCCGCGUGGAAAGGAUGUUGGCAGCCCCGGUGACCUCGGAGUCACGGCUGGAUCCACCCUCUUGUCUGAUUUUCUUAACUCUACUACGGUAAGAAGAUGCCCUCCAUCAGCAGGCCGUGUCUGCUGGGACCUCUCUGGAGACUUCCUGAACCCUGUGGAUUUACAGUAAGAUGCAGUUUCCUGGGGAGUAAUUCUGGUGGAUACAAAUUCCGGAGUAUUACACCUGGCUUGCCUGGAGAUGUUACAAGUAGCUGGAUGGAUUCUUCAGCCUGGAUGCCCACUGAAAACAAGGACCGAAACUAAGAGGAUUGUAUCUCUACCCUUGACUCAAUGAGAAUGUUUGUUGUCAUCUCUCGGGCUACCUGGAGCUCCCUCUAAAAUAGAGCCGAGUUCUGUCACCACAGACAUUGGCAGUGGCACUUGCAUGCCCCUGGCAAGCAGUCUAUCCUGAGGUGGAGGAAGUUGCCCUUGAGUUCUGGCUGGUAACCAGCACAGUAUACCCUUUAAGCGUUCCAGAAGGAUUUUGAGAUCCUUUCCUAAAUCAAAGGUGGAAUAUUUGGGGAUUUGGAAAAUUGAGGCUUCAGAGAAAUCAGGAGCGGUGAAUGAUCGAAAUGGACCUUUGAGAUUACAGUGUGGAGCUGACAUUGCCAGUUAAGCCUGGGCAGAUCUGACUUAAUUGAUUUAGUUGUUGGAGCAGAGACAACCCAGAGGCUUGGAUCAGCCUCCCCAUCUGACAGUGUGCUGAUGUGAAGCGUUGACUUAAGAGAUGCCAAGUAACUCAGCAGAUGUCACACAGACGAUAAAUAGCAAAGAUGGAAGUCUUCAUGCCGGAGGCAAUCCUAUAAGACAGCUGAGUUCUGCAGAGCUGGUAGGAGACAGACUUGCUCAGGUGAUAGAUCCAGCCAUGAUACUGACCCUAAGAGAAUGAGACGCUCUGCAGAAGACAGAAGAUUCCUGAAACUGGGAAAGGUGCCUAGAAAUCCUGAUAAGAGUGAAGAAGGGUACCUGGAGGCACAGCAGCCAUGUUGAACCUAUGAGGUGAUGAAAAACCAUGCAACUAGAAACCAGAAUGGAAGAAAAGAAGAAGCUGGAUCCUUGACUGAAUUGUCGAUGGGGGAUAGUCCAUCAUCCCAGGGCUAAGACCACCUCCAGAUUUCUUGUUUGGUGAAACAAGUCCUGAUUGUUUACAUUCCCUCGUGUUGAGCUGUCUCUUGCUUGUAGCUGAAAGCAUUUCUAAUAGAUAUUCAGAUUAUCAGCCUUAGCUCCAAGCUAGAAUACUCUAUGGGACCUUAGCUUCUCCAUGAAUUCCUUUGCUCAUCUGUGUAAUGCUCAAUAAAUGUAAAUUGAACCCUGAA
rnacentral:lncRNA from 1 species